AUUGAACGCUGGCGGCAUGCCUUACACAUGCAAGUCGAACGGUAACAGGUCUUCGGAUGCUGACGAGUGGCGAACGGGUGAGUAAUACAUCGGAACGUGCCUAGUAGUGGGGGAUAACUACUCGAAAGAGUGGCUAAUACCGCAUGAGAUCUACGGAUGAAAGCAGGGGAUCGCAAGACCUUGUGCUACUAGAGCGGCCGAUGGCAGAUUAGGUAGUUGGUGGGAUAAAAGCUUACCAAGCCGACGAUCUGUAGCUGGUCUGAGAGGACGAUCAGCCACACUGGGACUGAGACACGGCCCAGACUCCUACGGGCGGCAGCAGUGGGGAAUUUUGGACAAUGGGCGCAAGCCUGAUCCAGCAAUGCCGCGUGCAGGAUGAAGGCCUUCGGGUUGUAAACUGCUUUUGUACGGAACGAAAAGCCUUGGGUUAAUACCCUGGGGUCAUGACGGUACCGUAAGAAUAAGCACCGGCUAACUACGUGCCAGCCGCCGCAGUAACAC
rnacentral:rRNA from 1 species